UAUGUUUUGUUUAGGUUAUUUUUUAUUGUAUGUGUUUGGUUUAUAUUCUAAAGUUUUAUUCUUGCUUAUUUAUUCACUUUUUCUUUAUAUUAUAUAUAAGUUUUGUUAAACUAAAUGUUCUAUUUAUUUAUAGUAAUUAAAUUUAAUUAUCAAGUUAUUUUGGAAUUAGUAAUUGAUAAANUAUUGGCAUAUUC
rnacentral:rRNA from 1 species